rnacentral:misc_RNA from 1 species
AUUGCUGGGCCAUGCAUCAAUAACAUCGUGAACGCAUUUGAAUUUUGCACGUAUUCAUUCAUUUUUUGAAUUAUGUUUUACUGUGUUUCUCUGUGGGGAAUAAUUUAUUUGACGACCAUUACUGUCUGUCGGGGUUUGUGUAAUUUAGGCAGAUUAGGAAAUGUAAGGACGAACCAAUCAUCAACUUACAAAUAUACGGUAAAUGAUAUCGAAUUGACAGCAGAUCGAGCAGUCAAUGGAAAGUUUCAGAAGCAUAUCGAAGGCGACUGUGCAGGUACAAACAUCGGUAAAGCAUACAGACAGGCAUGGUGGAACAUUUCUCUACCGGAUCUGGCAGUCAUUUACAAAAUCAACUUAAUGUUCAGAAAAAAUAUAACCCGCCAUUACGGUUACUAUGUCUUUAUCAACAAAGAGGAAAUCAACAUUAAAGGUCUGACCUCUGAGACUCCCGUUUACCAUGAGAAGGAUGAACAGCAUCCCAGUGUCCAGAAUAUUAUCAUGUUCCCUGGUGGUAUCAAGGGGAAACAAAUGUUCAUCUAUCAGAACAAAUCCCGUCCAAAUUCUGGAAAUGGUGAGAAGAAAAACAACGUGUUGGACAUCUGUGAGGUGGAGAUAUGGGGUAUUUGAUUUUGAUAUACUUAUAUAUACUGAUCUUAAUAGCAAAUAUAUGGUACUCAUUCAGAAUGAUUAAGUGAAUAUGUACAAAGUAAUGAUUCAUUGAAGGAGUGAGAGAGAUUGUGUUGACACUCAUUAUUUAGCAAGACCUUAAAAUUUUUGUCUUUGGUUUUCAAUGUUUUAUUUUGUAUGUAUAACCAAUAAACAGAGUCAUGCAAAAA